rnacentral:tRNA from 1 species
GAGGAUGUAGCUCAGUGGUGCAGCACCUGCCUGACAAGUGUGAGGUCCUGAGUUCGAAUCCCAGAUCCCUCC